AAAGGCGUAGUCGAUGGAAAACAGGUUAAUAUUCCUGUACCACCUAUUGUGAGUGAUGGGGUGACGGAGAAGGAUAGAUCAGCCAAGUGUCGGAUUACUUGGUUCAAGCAUGUAGAAGUAAGGAAUAGGCAAAUCCGUUCCUUUCUAACUUCGAGACGUGAGUUACGAGAGACCUAGUCUCAUAAAGUGAUUGAUUCCAUGCUUCCUAGAAAAACCUCUAAAUGUUGAACAAUAGGUGCUCGUACUGUAAACGGACACACGUACGCGGGUAGAGUAUACCAAGGUGUUUGAGAUAAUUAUGGCUAAGGAACUCGGCAAAAUAGCUCCGUAACUUCGGAAGAAGGAGUGCCUAUAUUAGGUGAAAGCUCUUGCAGCUGGAGCCGAAAUAGGUGGCACUGAAAUGGUGGAAGCGACUGUUUACCAAAAACACAGGCCUGUGCUAACCCGCAAGGGGAUGUAUACGGGCUGACGCCUGCCCGGUGCUGGACGGUUAAGGGGAUGGGUUAUCCUUCGGGAGAAGCUUAGAACCGAAGCCCCAGUAAACGGCGGCCGUAACUAUAACGGUCCUAAGGUAGCGAAAUUCCUUGUCGUCUAAUUAGCGACCCGCAUGAAUGGCGUAACGACUUCUAUGCUGUCUCGGCCAUAAUCUCAGCGAAAUUGUAGUGCUGGUGAAGAUGCCAGCUUCCCGUUGUGGGACGGAAAGACCCCGUGCACCUUUACUAUAACCUAGCACUGGAUUUUGAUGAUAAAUGCGUAGGAUAGGUGGGAGACUUUGAAGAUUCGAUUUCGGUUGGAUCUGAGUCGUUGGUGAAAUACCACCCUUUUACUGUUAGAAUCCUAACUGUAAUCCGUUAUCCGGAUUAAGGACAAUGUUAGGCGGGUAGUUUGACUGGGGCGGUUGACUCCUAAAGAGUAACGGAGUCGCUCAAAGGUUCUCUCAGCCUGAUUGGAAACCAGGCGUCGAGUGUAAUGGCACAAGAGAGCUUGACUGUGAGAUCGACAGAUCGAGCAGGUACGAAAGUAGGACAUAGUGACCCGGUGCCUCCAUGUGGGAGGGGCAUCGAUCAUCGGAUAAAAGGUACGCCGGGGAUAACAGAUUAAUCGCGCCCAAGAGUUCACAUCGACGGCGCGGAUUGAUACCUCGAUGUCGGCUCAUCGCAUCCUGGGGCUGAAGAAGGUCCCAAGGGUUAGGCUGUUCGCCUAUUAAAGCGGUACGCGAGCUGGGUUCAGAACGUCGUGAGACAGUUCGGUCCCUAUCUACAACGGGCGAAGGAAAAUUGAGAGGGCUUGCUCCUAGUACGAGAGGACCGGAGUGAACAAACCUCUAGUGUAUGAGUUGUUGUGCCAACAGCAGUGCUCAGUAGCUACGUUUGGAAAGGAUAACCGCUGAAAGCAUCUUAAGUGGGAAGCCUGCCUCAAGAUUAAUUUUCCCGAACCAUUAGGUUCCUAAAGAUCACUCGAAGACUACGAGUUUGAUAGGCACAGAGUGUAAGUCCUGUAAGGGAUUCAGCUAAUGUGUACUAAUCGAUCGUGAGCCUUUACUAC
rnacentral:rRNA from 1 species